UAGAGUUUGAUCAUGGCUCAGAUUGAACGCUGGCGGCAGGCUUAACACAUGCAAGUCGAGCGGGGGAAGGUAGCUUGCUACUGGACCUAGCGGCGGACGGGUGAGUAAUGCUUAGGAAUCUGCCUAUUAGUGGGGGACAACAUCUCGAAAGGGAUGCUAAUACCGCAUACGUCCUACGGGAGAAAGCAGGGGAUCUUCGGACCUUGCGCUAAUAGAUGAGCCUAAGUCGGAUUAGCUAGUUGGUGGGGUAAAGGCCUACCGAGGCGACGAUCUGUAGCGGGUCUGAGAGGAUGAUCCGCCACACUGGGACUGAGACACGGCCCAGACUCCUACGGGAGGCAGCAGUGGGGAAUAUUGGACAAUGGGCGCAAGCCUGACCCAGCCAUGCCGCGUGUGUGAAGAAGGCCUUAUGGUUGUAAAGCACUUUAAGCGAGGAGGAGGCUACUUUAGAUAAUACCUAGAGAUAGUGGACGUUACUCGCAGAAUAAGCACCGGCUAACUCUGUGCCAGCAGCCGCGGUAAUACAGAGGGUGCAAGCGUUAAUCGGAUUUACUGGGCGUAAAGCGCGCGUAGGCGGCUAAUUAAGUCAAAUGUGAAAUCCCCGAGCUUAACUUGGGAAUUGCAUUCGAUACUGGUUAGCUAGAGUGUGGGAGAGGAUGGUAGAAUUCCAGGUGUAGCGGUGAAAUGCGUAGAGAUCUGGAGGAAUACCGAUGGCGAAGGCAGCCAUCUGGCCUAACACUGACGCUGAGGUGCGAAAGCAUGGGGAGCAAACAGGAUUAGAUACCCUGGUAGUCCAUGCCGUAAACGAUGUCUACUAGCCGUUGGGGCCUUUGAGGCUUUAGUGGCGCAGCUAACGCGAUAAGUAGACCGCCUGGGGAGUACGGUCGCAAGACUAAAACUCAAAUGAAUUGACGGGGGCCCGCACAAGCGGUGGAGCAUGUGGUUUAAUUCGAUGCAACGCGAAGAACCUUACCUGGCCUUGACAUAGUAAGAACUUUCCAGAGAUGGAUUGGUGCCUUCGGGAACUUACAUACAGGUGCUGCAUGGCUGUCGUCAGCUCGUGUCGUGAGAUGUUGGGUUAAGUCCCGCAACGAGCGCAACCCUUCUCCUUAUUUGCCAGCGAGUAAUGUCGGGAACUUUAAGGAUACUGCCAGUGACAAACUGGAGGAAGGCGGGGACGACGUCAAGUCAUCAUGGCCCUUACGGCCAGGGCUACACACGUGCUACAAUGGUCGGUACAAAGGGUUGCUACACAGCGAUGUGAUGCUAAUCUCAAAAAGCCGAUCGUAGUCCGGAUUGGAGUCUGCAACUCGACUCCAUGAAGUCGGAAUCGCUAGUAAUCGCGGAUCAGAAUGCCGCGGUGAAUACGUUCCCGGGCCUUGUACACACCGCCCGUCACACCAUGGGAGUUUGUUGCACCAGAAGUAGCUAGCCUAACUGCAAAGAGGGCGGUUACCACGGUGUGGCCGAUGACUGGGGUGAAGUCGUAACAAGGUAACC
rnacentral:rRNA from 1 species